GCAGGCCUAACACAUGCAAGUCGAGCGGCAGCGGGAAGAUAGYUURCUAUCUUUGCCGGCGAGCGGCGGACGGGUGAGUAAUGCCUAGGGAUCUGCCCAGUCGAGGGGGAUAACAGUUGGAAACGACUGCUAAUACCGCAUACGCCCUACGGGGGAAAGGAGGGGACCUUCGGGCCUUCCGCGAUUGGAUGAACCUAGGUGGGAUUAGCUAGUUGGUGAGGUAAUGGCUCACCAAGGCGACGAUCCCUAGCUGUUCUGAGAGGAUGAUCAGCCACACUGGGACUGAGACACGGCCCAGACUCCUACGGGAGGCAGCAGUGGGGAAUAUUGCACAAUGGGGGAAACCCUGAUGCAGCCAUGCCGCGUGUGUGAAGAAGGCCUUCGGGUUGUAAAGCACUUUCAGUAGGGAGGAAAGGUAGCAGCUUAAUACGCUGUUGCUGUGACGUUACCUACAGAAG
rnacentral:rRNA from 1 species